rnacentral:rRNA from 1 species
AAUAUUGCGCAAUGGAGGAAACUCUGACGCAGCGACGCCGCGUGAGCGAUGAAGGUCUUCGGAUCGUAAAGCUCUGUCCUCAGGGAAGAAGAAAGUGACGGUACCUGAGGAGGAAGCCCCGGCUAACUACGUGCCAGCAGCCGCGGUAAUACGUAGGGGGCAAGCGUUGUCCGGAAUUACUGGGCGUAAAGGGCGUGUAGGCGGCUAAAUAAGUCAGGUGUGAAAACUGUGGGCUCAACCCAGAGAUUGCACCUGAAACUGUCUAGCUUGAGGGUAGGAGAGGAAAGUGGAAUUCCUAGUGUAGCGGUGAAAUGCGUAGAUAUUAGGAGGAACACCAGUGGCGAAGGCGACUACCUGGGCUAAUACUGACACUGAGGUGCGAAAGCGUGGGGAGCAAAC